rnacentral:rRNA from 1 species
GUAAUGCCGGAUGCUCCAUCACACUGCAUGGUGUGUUGGGAAAGCCUUUGCGGCAUGGGAUGGGGUCGCGUCCUAUCAGCUUGAUGGCGGGGUAACGGCCCACCAUGGCUUCGACGGGUAGCCGGCCUGAGAGGGCGACCGGCCACAUUGGGACUGAGAUACGGCCCAGACUCCUACGGGAGGCAGCAGUGGGGAAUAUUGCACAAUGGGCGCAAGCCUGAUGCAGCGACGCCGCGUGAGGGAUGGAGGCCUUCGGGUUGUAAACCUCUUUUGUUAGGGAGCAAGGCAUUUUGUGUUGAGUGUACCUUUCGAAUAAGCACCGGCUAACUACGUGCCAGCAGCCGCGGUAAUACGUAGGGUGCAAGCGUUAUCCGGAAUUAUUGGGCGUAAAGGGCUCGUAGGCGGUUCGUCGCGUCCGGUGUGAAAGUCCAUCGCUUAACGGUGGAUCCGCGCCGGGUACGGGCGGGCUUGAGUGCGGUAGGGGAGACUGGAAUUCCCGGUGUAACGGUGGAAUGUGUAGAUAUCGAAAAAGAAC